GGUUGCUCGGCUAGUUUUGCAACUACAACAAUGGGAUUCAUCCAGCUUCCUUUUGCUGCUAUGGGCAUAUUCUUACUGGAUUCUGCUGGAAGACGGCCUGUUCUGAUGGUUGCGUCUGCUGGGACAUGCUUAGGAAACUUUCUUGUAGGUGUAGGCUUUUUGUGUAAGGAUUAUGAUCAAAUGAGUCAGCUCACUGCCACAUUUGUGUUAGUUGGCAUACUGGUAUUUGCUAUAUUCUUCUCAAU
rnacentral:misc_RNA from 1 species